CGCGUAGGCGGCUUGCCAAGUCAGUGGUGAAAUCCCGCAGCUUAACUGCGGAAGUGCCUUUGAUACUGGCGAGCUCGAGGGAGGUAGGGGUAUGUGGAACUUCUGGUGGAGCGGUGAAAUGCGUUGAUAUCAGAAGGAACGCCGGUGGCGAAAGCGACGUACUGGACCUCUUCUGACGCUGAGGCGCGAAAGCUAGGGGAGCAAAACG
rnacentral:rRNA from 1 species